AACGCACCUUGCGCUCCUUGGUAUUCCGAGGAGCAUGCCUGUUUGAGUGUCAUUAAUAUAUAUCAACCUCUUCAACUGUGUUGAGUGUUGGAUGUGGGGGUUUCCUUUUGCUGGCCUCUUUAAAAAGGUCAGCUCCCCUAAAAUGUAUUAGCGGAACAGUUUGUGGAUCGUUCAUUGGUGUGAUAACUAUCUACGCUAUAGACGAGAAACAGUUUCUGCUUCUAAUAGUCCAUUUAUUUGGACAACUCUUUUUUAUUAAUGUGACCUCAAAUCAGGUAGGACUACCCGCUGAACUUAA
rnacentral:misc_RNA from 1 species